CCAAUUUCCCUCUGAUCUCACAGUAGUGGGAGACUCUGACGACUGCCAUGUUGUGCUUUCUCCCUGCAGUGAAGAUAUACAGUGGGGCUACCUUGGAGAGAUGAAAGGAGGGAACCAUACGCACUCAGGGUAUUGUACAUCAGUGAGUGGAAUGAUGUGUGUAUCAGUGAUAUACUGUCGCCUCAGCUCACCUGCAUAUCAUUUAAGAGUGAACAGACUGUAGCAAAAACAACUAUCAUCAUCAUCAUCAUCAUCAAAAAAACACCAACACACUGGCUUUAUUUCCAGCAUACUCUGGUGGAUAUUGUCAGGCCCGUGCUAGCACACACAAAGCAGAUGAAAAGAUACCAAAACACUGUUUAUUAAUACUUUUAAGGCCAUUCGUCCAUUAGCUUUUCAGGUCUAAAUACUGUCACCACCUCCCUCCAUCCCCACCUCCCUUAGAGCCAGGGGAGAUUUAUGAACUGUUGUUUGCUUUAUGACCUGAAUAAAAUAAAUUGAACAACAUUAAACUCAUUACCAUGUAGACUGACAUGCA